rnacentral:rRNA from 1 species
AUGCUGCUCUUAUUCAGAGUUCUUGGAAGGAAGGAGAACCUGAGGAUGAAGGUGAGAGGGUGUCUAUUAUGUAAACCAGGGGUGUUGGAUGAGGCCAAACUGCUGAACCACUACUUGCCUGAUAUCUUCCAUUGUUUUCUUCGUCUACUUCUGUCAUCCUCUGUCCCCAUGUGCUAUUUUAUCUUCUGUAAGCUAUUUUUUGUUUUUUGUUUUCAGCUAUACGUGUACAGAUGGCUAGCUGAUGGGUGGCAUCAGGAUGACCUCAGUAAUAAACCUAAAGGACGUCACUUACAGCCGUAA